UGGGGAAUUUUGAACAAUGGGGGCAACCCUGAUCCAGCCAUGCCGCGUGAGUGAAGAAGGCCUUCGGGUUGUAAAGCUCUUUCGGCCGGGAAGAAAUCGCAUGGGUUAAUACCCUGUGUGGAUGACGGUACCGGAAUAAGAAGCACCGGCUAACUACGUGCCAGCAGCCGCGGUAAUACGUAGGGUGCGAGCGUUAAUCGGAAUUACUGGGCGUAAAGCGUGCGCAGGCGGUUUAGUAAGACAGGCGUGAAAUCCCCGGGCUCAACCUGGGAACUGCGCUUGUGACUGCUAAGCUAGAGUACGGCAGAGGGGGGUGGAAUUCCACGUGUAGCAGUGAAAUGCGUAGAGAUGUGGAGGAACACCGAUGGCGAAGGCAGCCCCCUGGGCCGAUACUGACGCUCAUGCACGAAAGCGUGGGUAGCAAACA
rnacentral:rRNA from 1 species